rnacentral:rRNA from 1 species
AGUGGCGGACGGGUGAGUAACGCGUGAGAAUCUGCCUUGGGGUCGGGGACAACCACUGGAAACGGUGGCUAAUACCGGAUAAGCCGAUUGGUGAAAGAUUUAUUGCCCGAAGAGGAGCUCGCGUCUGAUUAGCUAGUUGGUGAGGUAAGAGCUCACCAAGGCAGCGAUCAGUAGCUGGUCUGAGAGGACGAUCAGCCACACUGGGACUGAGACACGGCCCAGACUCCUACGGGAGGCAGCAGUGGGGAAUUUUCCGCAAUGGGCGAAAUCCUGACGGAGCAAGACCGCGUGAGGGAGGAAGGCUCUUGGGUUGUAAACCUCUUUUCUCAGGGAAGAAGCUCUGACGGUACCUGAGGAAUCAGCCUCGGCUAACUCCGUGCCAGCAGCCGCGGUAAUACGGAGGAGGCAAGCGUUAUCCGGAAUUAUUGGGCGUAAAGCGUCCGCAGGUGGCGAUUCAAGUCUGCUGUCAAAGCACGGGGCUUAACUCCGUAAAGGCAGUGGAAACUGAAUAGCUAGAGUGCCGUAGGGGUAGAGGGAAUUCCCGGUGUAGCGGUGAAAUGCGUAGAGAUCGGGAAGAACAUCGGUGGCGAAAGCGCUCUACUGGACGGCAACUGACACUCAGGGACGAAAGCUAGGGGAGCGAAUGGGAUUAGAUACCCC